rnacentral:rRNA from 1 species
AUGGAUAGUGCGAUCUUAAGCUGGAAUGUAAGAGGCCUAAACAAUCCCGCGAGACGCCGAGUUGUUGCUGGCGUUGUUCGAGAUCACCACUGUAAGCUUGUCUGUCUGCAAGAGACAAAGCUAGAUUCUAUCUCUAACAGCAUCAUCGCCAAAACUUUGGAUCCCUCCUUCAUGGACAACUUUGUUUUCCUUCCUGUUGUUGGCACCAGAGGGGGCAUCCUC